rnacentral:rRNA from 1 species
UAGAGUAAUGCGUGACCAACCUGCCCCAUGCUCCAGAAUAGCUCUUGGAAACGGGUGGUAAUGCUGGAUGCUCCAACUUGACGCAUGUCUUGUUGGGAAAGUGUUUAGUGGCAUGGGAUGGGGUCGCGUCCUAUCAGCUUGUAGGCGGGGUAAUGGCCCACCUAGGCUUCGACGGGUAGCCGGCCUGAGAGGGCGGACGGCCACAUUGGGACUGAGAUACGGCCCAGACUCCUACGGGAGGCAGCAGNU